rnacentral:rRNA from 1 species
AUAGGAGGUCCAGCCUGCCCAGUGACCACAAGUUUAACGGCCGCGGUAUUUUGACCGUGCAAAGGUAGCGCAAUCACUUGUCUUUUAAAUGAAGACCUGUAUGAAUGGCUAAACGAGGGCUUAGCUGUCUCCCUUUCCAAGUCAGUGAAAUUGAUCUGCCCGUGCAGAAGCGGACAUAAAAAUACAAGACGAGAAGACCCUUUGGAGCUUAAGGUUCAGGCCCAGCCGCGUCAAACAACUUUCUUAAGAAGUAAAAAACCUAGCGGAUAAUGGAGCUUUACCUUCGGUUGGGGCGACCACGGAGAAAAAUAUAUCCUCCGAGUGGACUGGGGCAAUAUACCUAAAACCAAGAAAGACAUUUCUAAGGCACAGAAAAUCUGACCAAAUAGGAUCCGGCCAAUAGGCCGAUCAACGGACCAAGUUACCCUAGGGAUAACAGCGCAAUCCUCUCCCAGAGUCCAUAUCGACGAGGGGGUUUACGACCUCGAUGUUGGAUCAGGACAUCCUAAUGGUGCAGCCGCUAUUAAGGGUUCGUUUGUUCAACGAUUAAAGUCC